rnacentral:lncRNA from 1 species
UCUGGCUUCAGAAUAAACACCUGCACUAUUUGCCACACAGUUCUUGAUGUGAGAGCCCGAUCAGCCAGCACCGCUCCAUGGAGCUGAUCUUGGAUCACUUCCAUAGAGAUGAGGCUGUAAAUUCAGACUCCACCCAGGGAAACAUAUUUCCAUGAUGUCAGACCACAUCUGAGGCUAAAGACCUUAACAGGAAAGGAAGCAGCCCGUCUCUGCCUCUGUGAAAACAGCCUCGGCUCAAGCUGGGUGCCUGCCACAGAAAGUACCGUGAUGGAGGAACCCGUUGAAUCAUCAAUGCAUCUUAAAGGCUUUUGAGUGAGGUUCAGGAUAAAGGGUGAGCAUGAAAGCACAGUAGCCAG